UAUAUAUAUAUAUACACAUGUGAUUUAUAUUCAAUCUCCUCAUAGUAUCCUAAAAGAUCCCUUAUUAAAUUUAUUUUAUCUAUAACUAUUAAUUUACUUAGUGAAAAAAAAACCCCAAAAAAACCUAACCAUACAAUAAUCUAUUCAUUUCUUUAUAUGAAUUUUUCACUCUUCCCCUUACUUCCCUAAGGAUUAGAGAUGAGCGGACACCUGGAUGUUCAGUUUCGCCAGGUUUGGCCGAACAUCGGCAAAAAGUUUGAGUUCGGUCUCGAGUUCGGCACAAGUUAGAAUGUGGGCAACUCAGCAGUCGUUGUGCAGGCACUUUGGUGCGCCUACCAUAGUGACCACGGGUAAAGGGGAAUCAGGGUUUGAUAUCGGAGAGGGAGCCUGAGAAACGGCUACCACAUCCAAGGAAGGCAGCAGGCACGCAAAUUAUCCACUCCCGAUGUGGGGAGGUAGUGAUGAAAAAUAACAAUACAGGACUCUUUCGAGGCUCUGUAAUUGGAAUGAGUACACUUUAAAUCCUUUGGCUAGGAUCUAUUGGAGGGCAAGUCUGGUGCAGAGUGAUUGACCCGUGCGUGCUGCAGCUGAAACUCCACUA